AUUGAACGCUGGCUGCAGGCUUAACACAUGCAAGUCGAACGGAGUGGCGGACGGGUGAGUAAUGCUUGGGAAUCUGGCUUAUGGAGGGGGAUACCUACGGGAAACUGUAGCUAAUCCCGCGUACCAUAGGAUGAGCACAAGUGGGAUUAGGUAGUUGGUGAGGUAAAGGCUCACCAAGCCGACGAUCUCUAGCUGGUCUGAGAGGAUGACCAGCAACACUGGGACUGAGACACGGCCCAGACUCCUACGGGAGGCAGCAGUGGGGAAUAUUGGAUAAUGGGCGAAAGCCUGAUCCAGCCAUGCCGCGUGUGUGAAGAAGGUCUUCGGAUUGUAAAGCACUUUAAGUUGGGAGGCGUUACCAACAGAAUAAGCACCGGCUAACUUCGUGCCAGCCACCGCGGUAAUAC
rnacentral:rRNA from 1 species